rnacentral:rRNA from 1 species
GAUGAACGCUAGCGACAGGCUUAACACAUGCAGGUCGAGGGGCAGCACGAUUGAAGCUUGCUUUAAUUGGUGGCGACCGGCGCACGGGUGAGUAACGCGUAUGCAACCUACCCAUCAGAGUGGGAUAACCCGGCGAAAGUCGGACUAAUACCGCAUAAAACAGGGAUCCCGCAUGGGAAUAUUUGUUAAAGGAUUAAUUGCUGAUGGAUGGGCAUGCGUUCCAUUAGAUAGUUGGUGAGGUAACGGCUCACCAAGUCUGCGAUGGAUAGGGGUUCUGAGAGGAAGGUCCCCCACACUGGUACUGAGACACGGACCAGACUCCUACGGGAGGCAGCAGUGAGGAAUAUUGGUCAAUGCGCGAGAGCCUGAACCAGCCAAGUCGCGUGAAGGAUGACUGCCCUAUGGGUUGUAAACUUCUUUUAUUGGGGAAUAAUGGGCGGGACGUGUCCUGCAAGAGAAUGUACCCUAUGAAUAAGCAUCGGCUAACUCCGUGCCAGCCGCCGCCGUAA